rnacentral:rRNA from 1 species
UACGGGGGGAGCAAGCGUUGUUCGGAUUUACUGGGCGUAAAGGGCGCGUAGGCGGUCAGCACAAGUCAGUUGUGAAAUCUCCGGGCUUAACUCGGAAAGGUCAACCGAUACUGCGGGGCUAGAGUGCAGAAGGGGCAACUGGAAUUCUCGGUGUAGCGGUGAAAUGCGUAGAUAUCGAGAGGAACACCUGCGGCGAAGGCGGGCUGCUGGGCUGACACUGACGCUGAUGUGCGAAAGCUAGGGGAGCGAACGGG